rnacentral:lncRNA from 1 species
AUAGGAACUAAAUACGAUGAUUUUGGUGUGGGCACUGCUAGCCAGCUGGCAAUUUCUCUGUAGGCCCGAGUCUAUGUGCCUGAAUUCACCCCCUCCAAGGGAGCAGCAGUUGAGCACAUUCACCACAGGCAGGACAGCUGCAUUCACCUCGCUCCUGUCUGAAUGGUGAUGGGCAAAUAGGAAACGUGUUUUCUGACACUACCAGGCAAUCAGGAUGCUACUAGGACUGGGAAUCUUGGAGAGGAAUAAAAAUCUAGUUUUAGCUGCACGGGACAAGCACAUAAGUAACAGAGCUGGAGAAUUAGUAGUUAUCAUACCUGAGGCACAAGACUGGGCAGCAAACAGGCUGGACUCUGCUCCUCUGUUCUGUGUCCUGUGACACUUUUAUGGGCAGUCUUGUACAACUUGCUUCAUCUUACCUGGGUCUUUCUGUUCCUGUUUUGGACACUGUGUAUCUGAAAAGCACUGGGAAAUUAUUAGAACAUUCACAUGGAAGCAGUGCAUAGGCUAUUCGAACCAUUUCUUAGGGGAGAGAAAAAAAAAAAGAUCUUCCAGUAAAACACUUGUUAAAAAGAAUUCUUUGUCUUCACUGAAUGUUGGAGUAGAUAACAGGGAUUAAAAAAAAAUGCAGGAAAUGGAAAAUACAUUGUUCUUCUGAGAUCAUAAAUGGACUGAUUUCAGAACAGAUGGAUUCCAUUUACUUCAUCAGAAUUUUGUGGACCUUCCGAGUACACAGAUUGCUUAACAUCAUUUCUGUAUAUCCACAAAUAUUUGCUAUUCCAGACAAAGUUCUAAAAUUCCUGCAUGAUUCAGUGCUACUAACAUUGUAAUUUUUUAAUGGUAGCAGUUCCAAAACACUAAGUGCUGUAUGUACACUGUUGUGCAGAUUACUCUUAAACUAUCAGUAACUAACAUAAUACAUUUCUAGCAAAAUGGAUAUAAAAGGAAAAAAAGCAAAAUGUAGAAAUUAAGAUACAUUUCGUUGGCUCCUACAGAUGCUGUGGAUCGAUUUCCCCAUUUCUUUUUCUGCAGCUAGUUCUUCUCUCAAGUGCCGCACAGCUGAAGUACAGCCGGCUGAAUUUCACAAAGGAGAUGCUACCACCCCUUACUGGAGAGCGCCUGACAUUGCGACUGCCAGAAGUAGCAAGAACAUGCGUUGUGCCUUAAAAUCAGUGCCUGGCCGAUCGCUUAAGCCUUCUACCUGUACUUGUGGGUGUGAUUUGGACUGCACUAAGAGGUCAGACCUAUUUUAUAAUGCUUCUGUAUACUCAAGUUGAUCUGUAUUAAAAUGUUAACAUUUUCUUCUGGAAAUCAAAUUAUCCACAGCAGUGCAGAGUGACAGAAGAUCCAGUCUGUUGCUGACUGAAAAACAAUUAUGAUGAUCUCAUUGAGUGGUCACUCUUUCUUUUCCUUAAUUGAUAAGUUAUACAGGAGAAGAACAUAAAUGAAAGGAGGCCAUCUCUCUGUUAGAAACUACAGCACUGCAGGUGGGGUUUAUAAUAAAACGGAAGAUGUUACUGACUUAAGGAACA